GGCUCCAUAAUGUAGUGGUUAGCACGUCUGCUUUACACUCAGAAGGUCCUGGGUUCACCUCCCAGGUGGAGCCA
rfam:Pteropus alecto contig75359, whole genome shotgun sequence.